CCGCGCACGCCUCUCAACGAUGCGCAACCCGCGCGGU
rnacentral:ncRNA from 1 species